AGUGAACGCUGGCGGUAGACCUAACACAUGCAAGUCGAACGGCAGCACAGUAAGAGCUUGCUCUUACGGGUGGCGAGUGGCGGACAGGUGAGGAAUACAUCGGAAUCUACUUUUUCGUGGGGGAUAACGUAGGGAAACUUACGCUAAUACCGCAUACGACCUACGGGUGAAAGCAGGGGAUCUUCGGACCUUGCGCGAUUGAAUGAGCCGAUGUCGGAUUAGCUAGUUGGCGGGGUAAAGGCCCACCAAGGCGACGAUCCGUAGCUGGUCUGAGAGGAUGAUCAGCCACACUGGAACUGAGACACGGUCCAGACUCCUACGGGAGGCAGCAGUGGGGAAUAUUGGACAAUGGGCGCAAGCCUGAUCCAGCCAUACCGCGUGGGUGAAGAAGGCCUUCGGGUUGUAAAGCCCUUUUGUUGGGAAAGAAAAGCAGCAGGUUAAUACCCCGCUGUUCUGACGGUACCCAAAGAAUAAGCACCGGCUAACUUCGUG
rnacentral:rRNA from 1 species